rnacentral:lncRNA from 10 species
AUCCCCAGCCCCGGCCCGGACCCCCAUCACUCACUGCAUCAAUGUUGCCUUUAAUGACUUCAAUCCUCCCUGCAAAGAACAGGAAGAUGGCACCCUGCAAUGACACACAUCAGGGGCCAGGCACGGAGUAGGCACUCAAGGGACCAAAGGGAAGAGACACAGCCAGAAAGCCAGAGGAAUAUGAUUCCAGGAGACUGAGGUCCUGAGGGCAUGGAAAUCAGCCUGCAACAGCAGUCUACUAGGUUCUGGCCUCGGAGGAAAAGAUGCUGACGGCCUGGCCCAGGUGGGCAGCUGCAGGCGUGAGAGGGAUCAUGCAAGGCUCUGGGCCUGACUGCCCCUCCGUGUGAGGAACCCUGGGGGGAUGAGGUCGGAGGUCAGCCAAACCAGGCCUCCCUGCUCUUUGGCCCAACAAAACCUCUAAAAUGCCCAGGGUUGGACCAGCCUCCCAGGUACACAUACUCUGUGCUUGGAGAGAGGCCUGGAGGGGCCACGCCCAGUGAUUAACAGUAUCUCCCUCUAGGUGGAGGGACUGCGAGAAAGGAGGGGGGAUGCUUGUUUUUGGAUUAUUUGUGGUUUUUACAACAAGCAGGUAUUUAUCACAUUUAUAAAUGUAAAGCUCUGUUGCCUACAGCCAGCCAGCAGCUCUAUUCACUGUGUACACCCAACGGAAACGGAUGGACAAGGGUUGUGGAAGUUCAUGAUAGCCAAGAAACAGAAACAGCCCAAAUGGCCACCAGCAGAAGGACAGAUAAACAAACUGCGGUGUGUUCAUGCAAGGGAAUAACACACAGGCCAGGUGAAGAAAGCAAGCAACAUAGUCACAUAAGGCUGGGUGAAGAAAGCAAGACCCACACCACUUAGGAAGCUCAAAACCAACGGAAAUAUCACAAUAUGCUGUUCAGACAUGAGUACAAAGCUGAGAAAGCUAUUUAAAAAAAAAAUAGAGUAGGGCCAAGGUGGGCGCAUCACUUGAGGUCAGGAGUUUGAGACCAGCCUGGCCAACGUGGUGAAACCCCCAUCUCUACUAAAAAUACAAAAAUACAAAAAUUAGCUGGAGGCUGAGGCAGGAAAAUCGCUUGAACCCAGGAGGCGGAGGUUGCAGUGAGCCAAGAUCACACCACUGCACUCCGGCCUGGGCGACAGAGCAAGACUCCGUCUCAACAACAACAACAACAAAAAAGGGUAGGGGACAAUAAACAUAAUACUCUAGGUAGUGAUUCCCCUGUUGGGUACAUGGACAGGGUGAGGAGGAGCCCCAGGGUGAGGAGAGUUAUUGCCAGUGUUCUGUCCUCCAGUCGGGUGUGGUGUUGGUGGGUGUUCAUUAUUUGUAAAAAUUUAAUAAAUAAAACAAAAUUUCAUUUAUGGUGCAAUCAUUACAGUGAAUCCUAAAGCAAGGACUAGGAUUAAUCCAAUUCUCAUCUCUCCAGGUCAAAAAGAUAGAAAAAAAGCUAUGAAAUUAACCAGCACCCCAACACUAAAAUGCAUAUGUCCCUCUCCUGCUAAAUACACAUAUAUAAUGAUGAUAAUAUGUUCUCAUUAUAACCCAGGCUUUCAGGCAAAAGCAUGCAGUGAUCGUUCUCAUCAUUCCCACCGUGUGGUGAGGAGACCUGGGCUCCAACUUCGUCAGACCUAGGUUCAAAUCCCUGCUCAUCAUUUUCUAAUCAUGUGACCUUGGGAAAGUGACCCCUCUCCUCUA